rnacentral:rRNA from 1 species
AUGCAAGCGAAACGGUCGCUGUACUGGAAGCUAAUGGGUGGGAGGCACAUGCUGGCGCUCAACACCGCGACGAUGGAGCUCACCGUGCUGGCGCUCCCGCCUUUCUUGCGGGAGCAGAGUUUCGACGUCAUUGAGAAGGGGGAGGAUGGCACCGGUAAGCUCUGUGUGCUCACUAUGCGUGGAUUAUGCAUUGAGGUUUGGAACGGUGAGGAUGACGGCGCCGGUGGGCUGACAUGGACACUGUUGGAAAAGUCGGUGAGAUUCUAUGGGGCGAUGGAACCGAUGAUUCUUUCGGAUCCUUUGGACCAGACUCCACAGGGCGAGGUCAUCGGGGUGGCUGCUGGUGUGGUGUUCUUGCGCAGCGGCAGUUGUCUGCUCUCCAUUCAUCUUGAGACCAUGAAGAUGACGAGGCUGUCUCUGGACGUGAAUUGCCCGUCUCCGCUGAUAUAUCCUUACACGAUAGCAUGGCCGCCAGCGUUCUUGAACCCUACUGAACAAGGAAUGUGA